AUUGAACGCUGGCGGCAUGCUUUACACAUGCAAGUCGAACGGUCACAGGUUAAGCUGACGAGUGGCGAACGGGUGAGUAAUGCAUCGGAACGUGCCCGGUCGUGGGGGAUAACGCAGCGAAAGCUGCGCUAAUACCGCAUACGAUCUGAGGAUGAACGCGGGGGACCGUAAGGCCUCGCGCGAUCGGAGCGGCCGUUGUCAGAUUAGGUCGUUGGCGGGGUAAAGGCUCACCAAGCCGACGAUCUGUAGCGGGUCUGAGAGGACGCCCAGCCCCACUGGGACUGAGACACGGCCCAGACUCCUACGGGAGGCAGCAGUGGGGAAUUUUGGACAAUGGGGGCAACCCUGAUCCAGCCAUGCCGCGUGAGUGAAGAAGGCCUUCGGGUUGUAAAGCUCUUUCGGCCGGGAAAAAAUCGCAUGGGCUAAUAUCCUGUGUGGAUGCUGGUACCGGAAUAAGAAGCACCGGCUAACUACGUGCCAGCCGCCGCGGUAA
rnacentral:rRNA from 1 species